GACGAACGCUGGCGGCGUGCCUAAUACAUGCAAGUUGAGCGCUGAAGGUUGGUACUUGUACCAACUGGAUGAGCAGCGAACGGGUGAGUAACGCGUGGGGAAUCUGCCUUUGAGCGGGGGACAACAUUUGGAAACGAAUGCUAAUACCGCAUAAAAACUUUAAACACAAGUUUUAAGUUUGAAAGAUGCAAUUGCAUCACUCAAAGAUGAUCCCGCGUUGUAUUAGCUAGUUGGUGAGGUAAAGGCUCACCAAGGCGAUGAUACAUAGCCGACCUGAGAGGGUGAUCGGCCACAUUGGGACGGAGAAACGGCCCAAACUCCUACGGGAGGCAGCAGUAGGGAAUCUUCGGCAAUGGACGAAAGUCUGACCGAGCAACGCCGCGUGAGUGAAGAAGGUUUUCGGGUCGUAAAACUCGGUUGGUAGAGAAGAACGUUGGUGAGAGUGGAAAGCUCAUCAAGUGACGGUAACUACCCAGAAAGGGACGGCUAACUACGUG
rnacentral:rRNA from 1 species